GACGAACGCUGGCGGCGUGCUUAACACAUGCAAGUCGAACGGAAAGGCCCUGCUUUUGUGGGGUGCUCGAGUGGCGAACGGGUGAGUAACACGUGAGUAACCUGCCCUUGACUUUGGGAUAACUUCAGGAAACUGGGGCUAAUACCGGAUAGGAGCUCCUGCUGCAUGGUGGGGGUUGGAAAGUUUCGGCGGUUGGGGAUGGACUCGCGGCUUAUCAGCUUGUUGGUGGGGUAGUGGCUUACCAAGGCUUUGACGGGUAGCCGGCCUGAGAGGGUGACCGGCGACAUUGGGACUGGGAUACGGCCCAGACUCCUACGGGAGGCAGCAGUGGGGAAUAUUGCACAAUGGGCGGAAGCCGGAUGCAGCCACGCCGCGUGCGGGAUGACGGCCUUCGGGUUGUAAACCGCUUUCGCCUGUGACGAAGCGUGAGUGACGGUAAUGGGUAAAGAAGCACCGGCUAACUACGUG
rnacentral:rRNA from 1 species